UACGAAGGGGGCUAGCGUUGCUCGGAAUCACUGGGCGUAAAGGGUGCGUAGGCGGGUCUUUAAGUCAGGGGUGAAAUCCUGGAGCUCAACUCCAGAACUGCCUUUGAUACUGAAGAUCUUGAGUUCGGGAGAGGUGAGUGGAACUGCGAGUGUAGAGGUGAAAUUCGUAGAUAUUCGCAAGAACACCAGUGGCGAAGGCGGCUCACUGGCCCGAUACUGACGCUGAUGCACGAAAGCGUGAGGAGCAAACAGG
rnacentral:rRNA from 1 species